GGGGCUAUAGCUCAAUUGGGAGAGUGUCUGCUUUGCACGCAGAAGGUCGUCGGUUCGAUUCCGUCUAGCUCCA
rnacentral:tRNA from 1 species